rnacentral:lncRNA from 1 species
UGGGAGGGAUAAAGCAUAUGGGACUAGUUCUGAGACAGCACGUACCAGUCAAGGACAAAGGAAGUGGAGUGGCAAUGAACAUACAAUGAGGGCUGAGGAGAUUGACCAUCAACUUACCCAAAAUUUAAGUGGCAAUUUUAAUUUUGAGGGUGUGGAUUCGGUGAAUGAUCCUCCAACGCCCAAAACUCCUACUUCACAACCCCAAUAAGAAUCACAAACUUCUUACAGACAGAAAAAAUCGAAACAUUUGCAUGCUAUCCUAG